GUCGGGUGAGGUGGCUCACCCCUGUAAUCCCAGCUGCUCCGGAGGCUGAGGCAGGAGGAUCCCAAGUUCAAGGCCAGCCUGGGCAACUUUGCAAGACCCUGUCUCAA
rnacentral:sRNA from 1 species